UGGGGAAUUUUGGACAAUGGGGGAAACCCUGAUCCAGCCAUCCCGCGUGUGCGAUGAAGGCCUUCGGGUUGUAAAGCACUUUUGGCAGGAAAGAAACGUCAUGGGUUAAUACCCCGUGAAACUGACGGUACCUGCAGAAUAAGCACCGGCUAACUACGUUCCAGCAGCCGCGGUAAUACGUAGGGUGCAAGCGUUAAUCGGAAUUACUGGGCGUAAAGCGUGCGCAGGCGGUUCGGAAAGAAAGAUGUGAAAUCCCAGAGCUCAACUUUGGAACUGCAUUUUUAACUACCGGGCUAGAGUGUGUCAGAGGGAGGUGGAAUUCCGCGUGUAGCAGUGAAAUGCGUAGAUAUGCGGAGGAACACCGAUGGCGAAGGCAGCCUCCUGGGAUAACACUGACGCUCAUGCACGAAAGCGUGGGGAGCAAACAGG
rnacentral:rRNA from 1 species